AAAUUGAAGAGUUUGAUCAUGGCUCAGAUUGAACGCUGGCGGCAGGCCUAACACAUGCAAGUCGAACGGUAACAGGAAGCAGCUUGCUGUUUCGCUGACGAGUGGCGGACGGGUGAGUAAUGUCUGGGAAACUGCCUGAUGGAGGGGGAUAACUACUGGAAACGGUGGCUAAUACCGCAUAACGUCGAAAGACCAAAGAGGGGGACCUUCGGGCCUCUUGCCAUCAGAUGUGCCCAGAUGGGAUUAGCU
rnacentral:rRNA from 1 species